rnacentral:lncRNA from 1 species
UCUGGGACCUGAAAUCUCAGCCACGCCAUGAGUGGCCGAGGGCCCAGGUCUGGUGACCAAUGGUGAGAAGGAGUCAUCUCUUAGAACGAGGUCCAGACAGUGCCGGGAACCAGGGGGUCCCACCAGGCACAGGCAGAACCAGCACGGUGCCUCCCCAGAGUCCGGUGACCUGAGAAGCUGCCAGGACGGCCGGACCCCAGUGAGCCAGUGACUGCUAGGACGGCCAGGCACUCUCAGCAGCAGAAUUCCAGUUGCAUUCAUUUUCUCCAAGGCGUGCAGUGUGGGUUCGGACAGUUGGAGCUCAAGCGUUAGGUCUCUGUGGAGCAGGAUCGUAGCUAGUUAUUGGGAAAUCACCAAAAAUGCAUCGAUACACAAUUCUAGGUUCCAAACAAGAAGAGAAAGAACACUUUCACUUCUAAAAGAAGGAAGAUACAAAGCCUGGCAAUGAGCAGAAGUUUACAGAACAGAAAAAUAUGGGGUUAAAAACAACCAUUGGAGUCUUCCCAAUUCUCAUUCAGAGAGGGUGGCAUGAAAGCCAACAGAAAUCGAUGUCGAUAGGAAACAAAUGUCAUCAGAGAAGGUAAGGGCAUUCGCAGAGGGAGUAAUGUUAUUUGUGAACUGUCAUGGCAUGGCCGUUUUUAAACUUAUCUUCACAGCAUCUCUCCUCAUAAGCAAGAGCAUGAAGAGCACGGAGAAUGUCUGUUUAGUGGCCGACAGCCAUCACGGGGUCUCUACGUGCCGGCCAGUCCUCACCUCGUUUGCACGCGUUUAUGAACUUAGCCCUCCCUCUGCACCAUGAAGGGGCCCUUACCGUCCCGUUUCACAGGUGCGGAGACAGAGGCUCGAGGGGAGAAACAGCCCUGGCGGGCGAAGGCAGAGCUGAGCUUCCGAGAAGGGCCCCCUGUGUUCAGAACUUCCAAAGCGGAAGUAGAAGGUGUCCUGUGGGCAGGAGGGGAGGGAGGAACUCCCAGAUGACAGGUGCGAGCCGCGGCCUCGUGCUGACGUGUACAGCGGGAGGGACCCUGGCAUCCAGGGGCUUCUUUCUUGGGAAAACACCAAGUGUAGAAACAGUCAACCAUCGUUGUCUCUCACGUAGGAUUAACUGUUGCUUUUCAGCUUUUUUACACUUAUUUUUUUUAAGCUAUGGUCACUAUACUUUUUUCUCUGAAAUAAUGUUAGACUUAUGGAAGAGUUGCCAAGAUCGUCCAGGAGUCCCCGCCCCCUUCAGGCAGCUUCCUCCCGCGUCAGCACCUUGCGUACCCGACCUUGACCACAAGGAUUGAGGCUAAGAAUUAACACGGGGCAAUUAACCACACAGUAGCUUGAUUCAGAUUCCUCCAGUUUCUGGUAACAUCCACCUCCUGCUUUAGAAACAACACUGAGUUCCAUGAGCAUGCAGGUGUCAUCUCGCUGUAGGCUCCAGCCCACGACAGGCCCCAUGUUUCCUUGCCUCCCAUGGCCUUGCCACUUGGAAGAGCACUGGCUGGGUGUUUUGAAGAACAGCCCUCAGUUUGGGUUUGCUAUUUUAUCAUGUCUGGAUCGAAGUUACGUGUCUGUGCCAAGAAACUGGCAGAAGCCCCAUACCCUGUUCAGCGUCCGCAGUAGUGACUCACGGGCCCUAUGCUUUGCCUCACUAUGGGUUGUUUUGGCCCUGGUCACCUGGUUCUGGUGGGAUCUGCUGGCUUCCCCCACUGUAACGUCACUAUUCUUCAUUUGUAAUUUAUUUAUUUGUAUUUACUUAUUUUGAGAUGGGGUCUCUCUCUGUCCCUCAGGCUGGAGUGCGGUGGUGCAAUUUCAGCUCAUGGCAACCUCUACCUCCCGGGCUCAAGCGAUCCACUGGCUCAGCCUCCCAAGUAGCUGGGACUACAGGUGUGUGCCACUGUGCCCAGGUAAUUUUUGUAUUUUUUUAGAGACAGGAUUUCACCGUGUUGCCCAAGCUUCUCUCAAACUCCUGAGCUCAGAUGAUCUACCUUCCUUGGCCUCUCAGGGAAGAUACUUUGAGACUACAAGAGUAUCCUAUUUCUCCUCAAAGUCUUUUCUGCUAAUUUUAGCAUGGGUUGGUGGGUUUUGUCUGCAACAAUUACUGCUGUGGUGUUCUAAGAUGAUUUGUUUCCUCACUACUCUGCUGGAAUUCCUCUGAAGGAAGGACCGCCCUCCCCUCACUGAUUUAUUCAACCUUGUGCCUCCAUGUGGACUUGCGCAUGUUUAUGCUUUGGGUGAUCAUCCCACACUGUCAUUAUUUACUUAGUUGCUAAAAUUUACCCAGCUCUGGCCGCUGGGCUUUUCCAGGCGGGCCCUUGGGAACCUCCCAUCCUUCAGGAGCACUUUCUUGCUUUCCAGCAUAACCCCAGGCUGCCCCGGUUUUUCCCCCAGCCCUGGAAUCCAUCAUUUCUCCAAGGAACCCUGCUCUUUUUACUGGAGAAUGAGCUUUAGAGACCAAGGUCAGGGCACUAACUGUGCUCAUUGCUGCUGGGGUGUCGCUGAGCAAAGAGAAAUGUGAAUAGCAAAUUAGCCUAUAAUUAUUAAUGAAUAUUUAUUGAUGGGUAGAUAAAGGAAUGAAUGAAGGAGGAAUUAUUCAAAAUACUCAAAAGAUGGAUGUUGAGUAUGACACUUCCUCCUUGUAAGAGAUAAUUUAAAUGUAAAUGAACAUGUAUCUAACUUACAGCAGGGGCUAUGCCUCUUGGUGUUUUCCUGUGUGUACAUCGCUGUGACACAUGAAAAACGGAGAGACACCCAGAGGCAAUGAGAAAUGCUGGACGAUGCAAAGUAAAACAAAAGCAAACAUUUAAAACAAACUUCUAAGUUUACAAGAAAGAAAGAACAGACUUCGAAAAAAUACCCACCUGUCGAUAAAAUGAGAUAAAUUGACCACAGAUGAACCUGCUCAUCAAACAGUCUGGGAUCCAUAUUUCCAUUAUUUCUGUGAUGCCAGAACUACCAGGUAAAAAGACAAACAAACAGAAACGGUCCCAGGCUGGUGACAAGCCAAGACUGCCUAAACCAGGGCCACCUGCUCCGAAGGUGAGAGGUUUUUCUCAUUAUCUUGAUUGUGAUAAUGCCUUCAUGGGUUUAUAUCUAUAUUUCAAAACCUACCAAAUUGUAGGCUUUCAAUAUAAUCGUUUUUGUAUGCCAGUUGUUCCUGCAUAAGGCUGUAAAAAAAAAAAAGAAGAAGAAGAAGAAGAAGAAAAGAAAGACAAACCCUAACAGACAGGCUUCACAGCGGAUUAGACGCAACUGAAGAGGAGACUGGGAAGCCAGACCAUGAGGCAGUGGAAAAUAUCCAGACAGAAGAACAGAGAGAAAAACCUAAACCCUAAAAUAAAAUCCAACGAUUAAAAGAUGGGAGACAUGUUGGAAACAACUAGCAGCAGCGAAGUGUUUGUGGCAUCCUGGAAAGAGGG